ensembl:lncRNA
ACUUUAGACGCAUGGAAGAAAGGAUGAAGGAACUUCCUCUAAAAAUCAGUUGUUCUGCCGUCUUUGACACUCGAAAAGCUUAGUACAAUAUCUUAGGAAUAAAGGAGGGGCCUCUUCAGAUGAAGUCUAUUCCUGGAAGAGUUCUUCUUACAGAGGAAAGUCACAUUUCUGGUAUUUGUUAUUUCAUGGUAAGAAAGGCCCUGAAACAUCUCCUUGUGUUAUUACGGAGGGGAAGAAAGGCUUAAGUGUUCUCAAACCGUGGUUGUAACCUGGCUUCCUUUUGUAGAGAAACGGGGGAGAAAGCUGACAGCUUGUGGCAACUUAAAAAUUAAAGUAGCAGUGUAAAAAAAAAAAAAAAAAAGGGCUGUUAAAAAAAAAAAAAACCCUUUUUUUGGGCCUUUUUUUUUUUUUUUCCCCCCCACCUUGUCUGGAUGGAAGACAGGAGGGAGCAGGCAGCAGAGUCCCAAGAGGGGAAUGGCACGUGGCUGCCCCGGGACAGACGGGUGGCCCUCCUUCCAGAUAACGCUGUGCACACAAAGAAUUUAAGUGGGAUCAAGAGGAGGCUGAAAACUAUUUGGAUGAGAGGUUCCCUGAGUGCCGGCUCAGGAAACUCCUGGAGCUGAAAAUAGUUACAUUUCUCAGAGAGAAGGAACCUUAUCCCAGGGCACGCUCUUUAGUUCCUCCUACGCCUUGAUUCAACUGAUGGACGACCGUUGUGAAAUUUUUCUGUUGCGUGGGGGACAGCGUGGAAAUAACAGCACUGAAGCUUGGGGUAACUGGAUUCAAGCUAUAGAUCUCCGCGGAUGGGAACUGCUCGGGAUAAAGGAUCCAUUGAUUCAUGUGUCACUGGUGACUUCCAUUUAACAGUGACUCUUAUAACUACUUGAGAAGCAGCCAGCAGCAGGUCUUCUGAGCUUUGAGUCUCAUAGUCAUAGUGAGCUUCUAACCUGAUGAACCGAGUGCUCUGGGUAGGAAAGCGAUUUCAGGCACGUACAAAACAUAACACAAAACGUCCUGUAGAAGUGGGAAUGGCAAAGGGAUGUUGCAGCAUCUACGUAGCUGCUUUAGGCCCAAACACACAGUCGGCAGGUUUUUUAAAAGGUAAGGUGAUGAGUGAAUCCACGCACUCCUCCGUACCUAGGAAUACGUGAAUCCAGUCCGUGGGCGCUGCUGCUGCUGCCUCCUCCUGAGCCGAUACAGCAGUCGGGUACCCAGAGGGAAGCGAGGAGUCCAAGGAGAGAAGCAAUUGCUUAGUAUCUUGGGCACUAAUCCAAAGUGGAAGAUUCAAUUGAAUUUUGCAGCAGAUAAUAUAUAUUCCCUGUGUUCAGUUUGUCCUGGAUUGGUCAGAUUUGACUCUUACAGAUUCCCUAGCCGUUGCGGCUUAUUAAAUAGCUUGGCUGAUUCUUGGUAGCUGAGUAUCGUAAGACUUCACAGGUGAAGCAUCCAUAAGCAGGUUGCUAUCAGUGGUUUCUCUGUUGUCUCCCAGUUCAUAUUCCCUCAGGUCUGGAGCUGCCUCCCUGUCCCUUGGUAAAAGGGAGAGGGUGGCAGGAGCAGGAAACGACUGCCGUUUGUGAAAACAGGCCGUACCUCCUGGCGAUUAAUCCUUAACCCAAAAAAUAAAGCUUUCUUUUCGGUAUUUGUCUGUCA